UCACAGUACAAACACACAGUACAAACACACAGGACAUCACACACUGUAAAACGUAACAACUGUCCUUACUGAAAAUAUACAAUUAAUUGGACUCAGUUUUUGUUUUUUGUUGAGUUUACUUGUCUAAACUGAGUGUUAUUAACUUUUUGGGUGAAAAAGUUAACAAACUUACUGAAAUCUAGUCAACUACACUUUAAUGGCUUUAGUUUGCUUAAGUUUGUGUUACAAGCUUAAGCUACAAGUUAAAAUAACCAUUAUAAUAAAGUAAACUGCACUUAAACUGCUUAACCCUGUGCUACAAGCUCUGCCAUUAUAUAUAUGAUACCUGCAUAUUGAGUAAAAUGAACUCACAUUUUAUUUCUUGUCCUAUUAACUUGUCUGAACUAAGUAGCCUAUUAUUGAAUUUUAGAUAAGGCCUACUUUUCUCAACCAAAUCAAGUGAACUGUAAGCCUAGCCAAGGCUACUUGAUUUGCUGUAGUUUGUGCUACUGAAUAAAUAGGCUACUAUUAUUUAGCCUAUUUUUUAGAUGGAAAAGGCUAUCUUGAAGACUUGCAAUAUUGUCUUUAAACUGGCCAGAUUGCCAUAACCUUACAGGACUGAAAAAAGACUGGUGUGCAAUGAGGACUAGCAUUUAUUAUUAUUAUUAUUAUUACAAAUGCAGUACAAAAUAUACAGCAACAUGCAGCCUACACAUAGCCUAACUGCAUACAAAAUACAAAGCAAGAGGUCACUUAAUAAAAGUCUAUAGCCUAGAUAGCACAAUGCAUACAGGUGUCAAGGGCCAAAAAAUUAAAAGAAAACUCAUCUAAGAUUUCAUGUAAGUAUUUAAUUCCACAAUAAAAGAUAAAAACAAUGGUUUUCUUUCCAGGAAUUUACAUAAUGAAUGUAGAAUUUCGCAAUGAAAAGAAGUAGCCUAAGUUAGGCUAAUUAUGAAGUCCUUUUUAGUGACAUCAUUGUCCUUAGGAAAUCCAAAGUAAACAUAUUUUAGCGUUAAGAUAAACUCUCUGAAAAUGUUCCUCCUUACAAAGUUGGAAAAGUCUAAUCAAAAGACCUUAAUAUACAGUAUAUGAAUUCCCAGAGCGGUCGGGCGACUUUUACGACUGUUGGUGACGUCAAGCCAGAAGUUAUGCAGCACUCGUGCAUUCUUGCGACAAACGUCUCAUCGACGAAGCAAGCACUUGAUGACACGAAACAGUUGCCCAAGAAACAAAAGAUACCCAUAGGCAUGAUCCUUGGCCUUCUGAAUUUGAAAUCCCAGAAUUAUCUGUUGACAUCAAUUACAGGCUUAGACAAGGAAACCUUUUCUACAUGAGAGAUGGCACGCUGUUACAAAUGUCUCGGGACAUGAAACAUGCAAUCCUAGAAAGACUUGCAGAGGCCAUGUAUAAGUAUAUGGCGUACCCCCGAGGUUAUCACUUUGAUGAAGGUGCAGCUGCUCUCGUCAAGAAACACCCUUGUUUGAGGGAGCCUGGAUCCUAUAGUGGAUAUUGUGGAUGGAAAAAUAGUUUAAAGUUUAAAAUGGGAAACUACCGUACCAAGUUAAGGAGAUCUGGAAUGGCUGAUGUCACAGUGAAUGUCUGCAGAAGGCGCAGGGUUUUCCCGGACGAGGAUCCGCCAAGCCGCAACAUCAAAAAGGCUAAAAGGAAUGAGACUAACUUUUUGCCCAAUUUCCCUGAUGGAGAGGAUGAAGUUUCUCUUGAGGCAAUAAGGCGUGAACUUGACAUGGACGCUAAAAAAAGCUUACCUGAUGUGAUUGGCAUUAGAAAGAAGAAGGAUCAGACCUUCGCACUUAGAAGAAAGGAAAUUGUGGAGGAGCAACCACCUGUGUCGAGAAUGGUGGAGCGAUGGCCAGCGCUCUUCACGGAAACUCAAAUUUAUGAUGAAUUCUCAAGAGUUGCCAGCAAGAAUCUUCGUCAACAGUUCUAUGAGGCACUGGACCGUCAGACACCCAGCCUGAUUCAAAUGAAGUCCAAAAGAGGAAAAGUGGGGCCAAUCCCUUGAAGGCUUUCUCCACCAGAUUGAUACUCAGAACAUUACUGUGACACGGACCGUUGUGCUGCGAGGUCUGCCAAUGUUUCUUGGAGAUGAUGACAGUGAGUUCUGCAGGACUUGCUUUGACUGGGACAACGGAGAGGACUCAGCCCAUCUGCCAGUGGGCAUACUUACCGUCAUCCCAGAGGAUGAUCCAAAGCCUAAUGCUGCUGGUUUGCACUUGCACCCUACCAGCGUUGCGGUAAUUCUUGAGGGGGACCUAGUCUUGGAUGACUUGUCUUCAUAUUCAGAGGCGUUUUGUCUUUUGUUUGGACUUGUAUAUGCAUUGCACCUUGAAUCCCAGAUCAAUUAGGUAUUCAUUUGAGUUCAUUCAAAAGGGAUAUAGGAAUUUUCUGUUUUUAUGUAUGUCCUAAUGUAAGUUUUUCUAUUUGUGUGCCUGUUGCUUACUGUUCACAAGUUCAAUAAACUUACAUAUUUCCAGGUAAUCGGUUUCCUCAUUUUAUCCAAGUUCACAUAACUUACAUUUGCAGGGUAUUUGAGUUCAAUUUACUUUGAAAAAUGUAGUAUUGCUGAUUGCUUUUUACUCAUGUACUUGAGUUAUGAGAACUUAGUUUCUUUGGUAAGUGCCUUUAUUUGAGCCAAGUUCACUUUACUUAAGUAUGCCAAGUACACUUAACUUUGUUUUCUCUUAUUUUCACAACUGAAGUGAACUGAGUAUUCCCUACUCACUGUGUGCUAGUUUAUUUUAAGUGAACAAGUCACUUAGUUUAACUUAAACAGAUAUGUUCUUUUGAGUAUUCCCUACUCACUGUGUGCUAGUUUAUUUUAAAUGAACAAGUCACUUAGUUUAACUUAAACAGAUAAGUUCUUUUACUUAAUUUUUUCCAGGUAAUCGGUUUCCACAAUUUUUUUAAGUAAAGUUAACUUAUCAGGUUUUACAGUGCAGUACAAACACACAAUACAAACACACAGGACAUCACAGGACAAACACACAAUACAAACA